rnacentral:rRNA from 1 species
AGCGAACGCUGGCGGCAGGCCUAACACAUGCAAGUCGAACGAACCUUUCGGGGUUAGUGGCGGACGGGUGAGUAACACGUGGGAACGUGCCUUUAGGUUCGGAAUAACUCAGGGAAACUUGUGCUAAUACCGAAUGUGCCCUUCGGGCGAAAGAUUUAUCGCCUUUAGAGCGGCCCGCGUCUGAUUAGCUAGUUGGUUGAGGUAAUGGCUCACCAAGGCGACGAUCAGUAGCUGGUCUGAGAGGAUGAUCAGCCACAUUGGGACUGAGACACGGCCCAAACUCCUACGGGAGGCAGCAGUGGGGAAUCUUGCACAAUGGGCGAAAGCCUGACGCAGCCAUGCCGCGUGAAUGAUGAAGGUCUUAGGAUUGUAAAAUUCUUUCACCGGGGACGAUAAUGACGGUACCCGGAGAAGAAGCCCCGGCUAACUUCGUG